UACGAAGGGGGCUAGCGUUGCUCGGAAUUACUGGGCGUAAAGCGCACGUAGGCGGAUCUUUAAGUCAGGGGUGAAAUCCCAAGGCUCAACCUUGGAACUGCCUUUGAUACUGGGGAUCUUGAGUCCGGGAGAGGUGAGUGGAACUGCGAGUGUAGAGGUGAAAUUCGUAGAUAUUCGCAAGAACACCAGUGGCGAAGGCGGCUCACUGGCCCGGUACUGACGCUGAGGUGCGAAAGCGUGGGGAGCAAACAGG
rnacentral:rRNA from 1 species